UCUACUUAAAACAGAGCCAGAGCUACUAAUAAGAAUAUGGCUUUAAAAGAAAAUGAGGUUGGUUCAAAGAGGAAAAUCUACAGUGGCUCCUCAUGAUGGCUAUAUAACCACCAGAACUGGAUGAGAUCCUCAAGAAGGAAAAAACCCAAAUAGUAUGAGUAAAUCUUAAAAACCUAUGUUUAAAAAGUGAACACCUUCACCUUGACUUUAAAAACAAAACUAAACAUUGCCU
rnacentral:lncRNA from 11 species